AUGUGAAACACCAACAUCUUCACAUCUGCUGUCUCACACUACGACAACAUUUAUGAAGAGAAUCAUACAGGUUUGGAAUGAGAUAAUGUUGCAGUGUUUCCCACAGGAUUAAGUGAUACUGUGGUGGGAGAUAUCAAACAUGCGGUUCAUGCAAGACGACCAAAGACUUUGUAUGACCUGGAGGCAUUUUGCCAAGACGAAUGGGCAGCUAUACCACCUGCAAGAAUUUGGGGCCUCAUAGACAACUAUUACAAAAGACUGCACGCUGUCAUUGAUGCUAAAGGGGGCAAUACACAGUAUUAAGAACUAAGGGUAUGCAGACUUUUGAACCGGGGUUAUUUCAUUUUUUUCAUUGUUGCCAUGUUUUGUUUUAUGAUUGUGCCAUUCUGUUAUAACCUACAGUUGAAUAUGAAUCCCAUAAGAAAUAAAAGAAAUGUGUUUUGCCUGCUCACUCAUGUUUUCUUUAAAAAUGGUACAUAUAUUAC